UGAGUACGAGAUGCUACGGCAUCGAAGCAGUCUAUGUCAUACUUCCAAGAAAAGCUUGCACUGUCAUAAACAAAGAAUGCCUGUACCAUAACCGACACAGGUGGGUAGGUAGAGUAUACUAAGGGGCGCGAGAUAACUCUCUCUAAGGAACUCGGCAAAAUGAAUCCGUAACUUCGGGAGAAGGAGUGCCUUAUUUCUAAGGUUGCAAUAACAAGAUCCAAGCAACUGUUUACCAAAAACACAGGUCUCCGCUAAGUCGUAAGACGAUGUAUGGGGGCUGACGCCUGCCCAGUGCCAGAAGGUUAAAGAAGUUGGUUAGCAUUAGCGAAGCUGAUAACUGAAGCCCUGGUGAACGGCGGCCGUAACGAUAACGGUCCUAAGGUAGCGAAAUUCCUUGUCGGGUAAGUUCCGACCCGCACGAAAGGCGUAAUGAUUUGGAUACUGUCUCGGAGAGGGGCUCGGUGAAAUAGACUUGUCUGUGAAGAUGCGGACUACCUGCACCUGGACAGAAAGACCCUAUGAAGCUUUACUGUAACUUGAGAUUGAAAUUGGACUUUAUUUGCGCAGUAUAGGUGGGAGGCGUUGAGAAUAAUCUUGCGGGAUUGUUGGAGCCAUCAGUGAGAUACCACUCUUGUAAUGUUAGAUUUCUAACUUUGUAUCAUUAUCUGGUCAAAGAACAGUUUCAGGCGGGCAGUUUGACUGGGGCGGUCGCCUCCCAAAGGGUAACGGAGGCGCACAAAGGUUUCCUCUGAACGGGUAGAAAUCGUAUCUAGAGUGUAAAGGCAUAAGGAAGCUUGACUGUGAGACCUACAAGUCGAGCAGGGACGAAAGUCGGUCUUAGUGAUCUGACGGUGCUGAGUGGAAAGGCCGUCACUCAACGGAUAAAAGUUACUCUAAGGAUAACAGGCUGAUCUCCCCCAAGAGUUCACAUCGACGGGGAGGUUUGGCACCUCGAUGUCGGCUCAUCGCAUCCUGGGGCGGUAGUCCGUCCCAAGGGUUGGGCUGUUCGCCCAUGAAAGCGGUACGCGAGCUGGGUUCAGAACGUCGUGAGACAGUUCGGUCCAUAUCCGGUGUAGGCGUUAGAAUAUUGAGAGGAGCCUUCUCUAGUACGAGAGGACCGAGAAGGACAUACCUCUGGUGUACCAGUUAUCGUGCCAACGGUAAACGCUGGGUAGCUAUGUAUGGAGUGGAUAACCGCUGAAAGCAUCUAAGUGGGAAGCCCACCUCAAGAUAAG
rnacentral:rRNA from 1 species